rnacentral:rRNA from 1 species
CAGCAGCCACGGGAACACGUAGGGUGCAAGCGUUAAUCGGAAUUACUGGGCGUAAAGCGUGCGCAGGCGGUUAUAUAAGACAGAUGUGAAAUCCCCGGGCUCAACCUGGGAACUGCAUUUGUGACUGUAUAGCUAGAGUACGGCAGAGGGGGAUGGAAUUCCGCGUGUAGCAGUGAAAUGCGUAGAUAUGCGGAGGAACACCGAUGGCGAAGGCAAUCCCCUGGGCCUGUACUGACGCUCAUGCACGAAAGCGUGGGGAGCAAACAGGAUUAGAUACCCCUGUAGUCCCUGUCUCUUAUAC